rnacentral:sRNA from 1 species
AAUGUGCUAGGAAAACCCGUUGGCAUGUAUGGAUUAACCAGCAGACCAUGUGUGCAUGUGUGUUUAUUCCUUAUAAAUAUUUAUCUCCAUGUGAUUAGAUGUUGCUUUUUACUGAUUAACAUCGGUGUUGAGCAUUUUUUCUGUAUGGCCUUUCAUCUACUGUGAAAUAAUUUUCAGCCAUUUUCUCAUUAAUUAAUUAAUUAAUUAAUUUUUAAGUCAGGGUCUUGCACUGUCACCCAGGUUGGAGUGCAGUUCUGGGAUCAUGGCUCACCACAGCCUCAGAUUCCUGGGCUCAAACAAUCCUCCUGCCUUCGUCUCCUAUGUAGCUGGAACUACAGGCAUGCGCCACCACAUCUUGCUUUUUUUUUUUUUUUUUUUGUAUUUUUUGUAGAGACAAGGUCUCACCAUGUUUCCCAGGCUGGUCUCAAACUCCUGGGCUUAAGUGUUCCACCUGUCUUGGCCUCCCAAAGUGCUGGGAUUAUAGGCAUGAG